rnacentral:lncRNA from 1 species
ACAUUUUCAAUCACAGGAGGAGCAGAAAACAUAUUAUCCCCUACCUAUCACUGGGUAAGGAGAUAAUAAAAAUCUGACAUGGAGAACAUCCGUUACCGGUUAGGGUAGACAUAUCAAGGAUGACUCACUAAUUCAUUACCGGUUACUAGGUACGAAUAGACUUGCUGGAGAAGAGCUAAAAAUAGGAUUUACAUCUACCAGUUACUGGGAAUAAGACCAAAGGAAGAGAAUACCCAUCGCUGGUUAAAGUGAACAUAUCAAGGAUAGACUCAAAGCAAAGAAAAU